rnacentral:misc_RNA from 1 species
GAUGAAGAACGUAGCGAAAUGCGAUAAGUAGUGUGAAUUGCAGAAUUCAGUGAAUCAUCGAAUCUUUGAACGCACAUUGCGCCCCUUGGUAUCCCGAGGGGCAUGCCUGUUCGAGCGUCAUUUCACCACUCAAGCCUGGCUUGGUGUUGGGCGACGUCCCCUUUGGGGACGCGCCUCGAAACGCUCGGCGGCGUGGCACCGGCUUUAAGCGUAGCAGAAUCUUUCGCUUUGGAAGUCGGGGCCCCGUCUGCCGGAAGACCUACUCGCAAGGUUGACCUCGGAUCAGGCAGGGAUACCCGCUGAACUUAAGCAUAUCAAUAAACGGAGGA